UUACGGAUACAGGUGAAGUAACCCUUUCCUUCUGAAAAUUUUGUUUGAUUUGCGAAAAGUUAGCAGAGAUGGUGAGGGGGAAGACGCAAAUGAAACGAAUCGAGAACGCUACCAGCAGGCAAGUUACCUUCUCCAAGCGUCGGAGUGGCCUCCUCAAGAAGGCCUUCGAGCUCUCGGUUCUCUGCGAUGCCGAAGUGGCGCUCAUCGUCUUCUCCCCCAGGGGAAAACUCUAUGAGUUCUCCAACUGCGGGUACGCUCCUCCUAAUCAUAUCUCUCUCUCUCUAUCUAUCUAAUAUUCACAUUCUCAUGAUUCCAUCGCUCCUGCAAAUCUAUCUUUCCAAAUUGAUAAGCUUCUUAUUUUCUUGAUUUUCGUUUCUGGUUUGUACUGUUGAGUGUUGAUCACGCUUUCUACUUCUGAAAGCGUGAUCCAGUUCUGAUCAAUCCCACUGGCUUCUUACAUAAAUGGCAGACAUUUUUUAUGCUUUUCAUGCUAUCUUCUGUAGAAUCCUCUUCCGCAAUUCGCUCGCAUUAAUUUGAUUAUAUACGGAAUUAUGGAUCAACGCCAUUGCAGUGUUUUCGUACUAAAA